rnacentral:rRNA from 1 species
GACGAACGCUGGCGGCGUGCUUAACACAUGCAAGUCGAACGGUGACGAAGAGCUUGCUCUUCUGAUCAGUGGCGAACGGGUGAGUAACACGUGAGCAACCUACCCUUGACUCUGGGAUAACAGUUGGAAACAGCUGCUAAUACCGGAUACGACCCCGGCAGGCAUCUGCUGGGGUGGAAAGCUCCGACGGUCAAGGAUGGGCUCGCGGCCUAUCAGCUUGUUGGUGAGGUAAUGGCUCACCAAGGCGACGACGGGUAGCCGGCCUGGGAGGGCGACCGGCCACACUGGGACUGAGAUACGGCCCAGACUCCUACGGGAGGCAGCAGUGGGGAAUAUUGCACAAUGGGCGAAAGCCUGAUGCAGCAACGCCGCGUGCGGGAUGACGGCCUUCGGGUUGUAAACCGCUUUCAGCAGGGACGAAGUGAAAAUGACGGUACCUGCAGAAGAAGCACCGGCUAACUACGUGCCAGCCGCCGCGGUAAUAC